rnacentral:sRNA from 1 species
GCCAGGCACGGUGGCACAUGCCUAUAAUCCUAGUGGCUUGGGAGGCUGAGGCAGGAGGAUCAUGAGUUCAAAGCCAGCCUCAACAUUAGUGAGGCACUAAGCAACUCAGUGAGACCCUGUCUCUA